UAACAUAAUGAUCAAAUUAACAAGCUACCUAGCUGAUAUGCUCCCUUACCUUUCUCCCCCGGCCCUUGCUUUAUAUCUCCUCCUCCUCCUCCUCCUCUCAGCUAGCCCUAGAGUUGAUGGAUGGAUGGAUGGAUGGAUGCUCGACGAGUACCGCUACAAGAACGGUUGGGUCAGGAAAGCAGACAUGGAAGAUUGAUAGAUUUUGGUUGUGAAGAAAUUACAUGCACCAAAUCAUCUCUGAUCUACUGUUCUUGAGGUUUUUCAUUUGUCCUUUGGCCUGCUGUGAGUACUGUAGUUUCAUCUGCAUUUGAGCUUGAGUGUUUAAAUUAAGUUCUAGUGUAGUGAAUCCUUUGAAAUUUUGUUUAAAUUGAUAUAUAUAUGAGUUUAACUGUAGAUGAACCUAACCUAAUUGGGAGCCCUAAUUAAUUUAAGGUUUAGUAUGUAUUUUGAGCAAGAGAUUAGGGCUAAUGAGCAAUUAUUUCAAAGAGGAGAUAGGACUACUAUGAGUAAGAGAUUAGGAACAAUAACUAGUUAGUUUGAAGAGAAUUUGUUCAUUAUCAACGGCUCUAUAUGCUUGGGCAGAAUAAGGAUUCAAAUCCAUGGAUGAAGGGAACACAACGCGGGACAAUCUACGAUUUCUUUUGUAUGUUAACUUUUUUUUUCUCCUUUAGAUUGUUAUAACUAUUGUACUUCUAUUCUUAAGGCAAUAUAUAUAGUGUUUUGUAAUUGGAGUCUCAUUAUAGUUUUGAUAACAAAGGAGUGGAGUCGUAGAAUUAAGAUGCAUUGUGAAUUUGUGAUGUCGAUAGGUUUAGUCCUUAUUUUGAUUUUACGAUCGAGUUCAAACUAGUUUACCAUAUUGUCGUUUAAACAUACUUUUGCACAAUUGUGCCAAGUUAAAAGAACAAGCUCAUUAGGUUAGUAGGAAUGCAAACAUUGAGGAAAAAAAAGUUGUGUUUUAUGUGAUCACCUAUAGUACAUAGUAGAUUUUACCUUUGUUUCAUGGUCUAUGUUUCGUAACAUUAUUAGGUAUAUGUAUAUAGAUAGCUAGAUAGAUAUAUAGAUACUAUCGAUGACACGCGUUCAUGUUAGGGUUUCCAUGGCCAAAAGAUACAUCUCGGUGCAUAUAUGGUACUUAGCUUGAAACCUAGCUAUGAAGAUUAAUACAUGAAAAGGGAAUGAUUGUGCAAGUCUUUAUCUAAAUUGCCCCAAACAAACUUAAAUUAAAUUUUGUUAAUUUCAUAUUUCGAUAUCAUCCAUUUAGUUGAAGCGCAUAUGUAUUGUUUAAAUGGCAAGUUAUCUCUACCUUGCAACUGUUUUUAUUCUUUUGGAUAAUUAUUUACUUGAUUCAUAACAUAAUAAUCCCUUCUCAUCUUUGUUCAUAAUUGCAUCACUAUUACUUGUUUUCUUCUUGAAAUUAUAUAGAAAAUAAAUUGUUUGCCUUUACUUGAUUAAAAUAAUAAUCAAAUAGGAGAUUGAAAGGUAGGAGAAUGUACUUAUAUUGUUCUA